rnacentral:rRNA from 1 species
UGGGCAACCUGCCCCUGACACUGGGAUAACCCCGGGAAACCAGAGCUAAUACCGGAUACUCUCGGCCGAUCACAUGGCUGGCCGAGGAAAGGUCCGCCGGUCAGGGAUGGGCCCGCGGCCUAUCAGCUUGUUGGCGAGGUAACGGCUCACCAAGGCGACGACGGGUAGCUGGUCUGAGAGGACGACCAGCCACACUGGAACUGAGAUACGGUCCAGACCUCCCGUACGGGGAGGCA